CAGAGCAUCUGGUGGAAGUACCAUUCACCGCUUCUUUCAGGAGAUGAUCUGUUUUCUUUAUCUUGGUGGAGGGGGAAGAAUUUCCUUGCAUUAACCUUCUGCUUGUGCCACCAAUCAGCCGUUAGGAAACUCAAGACAGUUUUAAAGCUGCCACGGACAACAAUGAAUUAGAGCGGAAGGAAGGGGGAGGCGGCUGUUGCGAGAAAAAGUGAUCUGAGAAGCGCGCUGUAAAUCAUCAGUGGAACUAUAAGUUCUUUGAACAAAUGCACUGAAAAUAGUUUUGUUGUCUGUCACCAAGUUUAUGUUUCCACUUAAAAAAAAAAGGGGUUAAUAUGUAUUUACCAUCAAGUUGCAUAGUUCAUCUUGUUUCACAC
rnacentral:lncRNA from 1 species